GGAGAGUGACGACCUUUUCCAGGCUGUCUUUUCACAUCCACAGCAGAAAUUCAGCAUUGUAUCUGAAAUGCAGUCUCUUCGUAGGACUGUUAUUUUUACGAUGCAAAGGCUGCUUGAAAGACAGUGAAGAAGGGAAAGAGAACAGAGAAGGAAAACCUCAAGAAGGAUGGAAAUGAUCUGAGUAGCUGUGUUUCAGGGAAACGGUAUCUGAGUGAGAUCUGGUGCUGGGUGAGUCCUCUGCUGAGCCCAGGAUGUGCGCGAACUGCUGGGUAGUUCUGCACAGGUGGCUGCUUUUUUAAUUUGUCUUCUUAAUCCUCAGGAAAAGGGUAAGCAUUCCUUUGGCUCCUGAGGGCAAACCAGAAAGGGAUCAGGACAUCCAAAAUGACAGGAAGACGUGGUGCUGUGUGGAGGCAGUAACUUGCACACACUCUGCUUUACACAGUUCUUCCCCACGAGGACGACCAGUUGUGGGACCACAGAAGUCUCCCUGGUGCGGUGCUGUUGCUCUGCCUUGCCUCGGGCACUGUGGAAGGGGGAAGCAAAUUCUGAAAUGCACAGGAAAAUUAUAUAAAAUGGAGAAGAGAUGGGCACAGAAAGAAGUUGGCAAGAAGGAGAGGAUGGUGGUGUUUUUGCUAACAAGAUGAGUUUUCAAGGCUGUCUGCUGAGUGGCAUCAAAGAAGAGUGGAAUUUUGAAAAUGUCCCUGUGACCCAGAGAACGUGUUCCUGCCACAUCAGUGCAUUUGUGGCACUGUCAGUGCUUGCAGAAAUCUCAGUGAGGCUGCAUCCUUCUACUUAUUUCAAAAUAACCCAUCAGAAAUAAUUUGGUGCCUUGAAAUCUUUUACUCACAGGAAAAUGUAUUCUGCAAAGCACUCACUGUUACUUCUUUUCUCACUGUUUCAAGCAUGAACAGAAUUAUCUGCCCCCUUUGUACAUAGUUCUUAACAAAAAAACAAAUCCUGUUCUCAGACUUGCAGACCAGUUUUAGUGGCAGUUCUCAUGAUGGUCAGACAGGGAACACUCAUGGCACUGUGCUCACUGCUGUCAGCCACUGUUUGCCAUCCCCAGUUCUGGAGGUCUCCAAGGAGAGGGGAGCAGCAGAGCCACGUCCCCGUUGCCUGGCUCAGCGCAGCAGCUCUCAUGAGCUUGCGCCUCCUGCCCAGUGUUGGCUUUGCCAAGCCUGACCCUGCUGCCUCUCUGGAUCUGCUCCUUGGGAUUGUACCUUGGGGUUUAGGAGUUGUUAGAAACAGCUGAGAACUCCUGGCUUGGCAAUGCAUCUUCUGGUUUGAGUGUGUUCACUGGGCCGCACAUCCUAGCUGCUAGGUAUGAAAAAGAGCAUCAGACAUCAAGCAAAAUUUAUCCAGAUUUCACUUGUAUUUCCAUCUCACAUCUGAUCCAGGAAGUUUCCUUGCAUUCUUGGGCAAAGUAUGGCUGAAGUCCUGAAUAAGAUCAAUUGGCUCAAGGGACCUUACUGGCAACAAAAUUAAAAAGGGAUUUCCUUCCCUGAUUUUGAGGACCACAGAAAGGAUGAGCCUAGAAACAGAAAUUACAAGCUACAAAUCUUAGGGCCAGCCUCAAGAGAACGUCAGGUACAUUAACACAGCUUGCUAGAGAUGAAAAUCCAGCUUGAUUGCAUCCAAAUAGGGACUCAAAAUCUUGCUGACAGACCAUACCUUUAGAAGCCCCAAGUACCAGCAGCAGUGCUCUGACAACUCAGUGCACCAGUUGGAGCUGUGCAGCUCCUCUCCUUGCAAUGUAUGUCCAGAUCCUGCAGGUCGUUCUGUAUGCUCCUCAUUGUGUCAUAGGAGUAAUUAUUUCGUGUUGGUUUCUGCUGCCAUCCAUGGUAUAUAUGGUUUUCCUUUUCCUUAUGGAAAAAGAAUUCCUUCUGAGGAAGUCUGUCUUAACUUCUAAUGUAUGCAAAAUUUCAGAUGCAUAGCACUGUGAAUAGUGCCAGUCUGCUCAUCUUACUCCUGCUAACAUUAGUAAAUCUAUUCAUGCAGGUAAACAAGAUUCAUUUUAAGUGGGUCAAAUAUUUUUUGUCGAAAAGAAAAUGAAGAUAUUCAGAGGCCUCUCAGAUUGACAUGAGGUCUCGAGCGAUCAGUCCCUCCCUUGCUGCUUGCAGGUCACACAGGAGGGCAGUGGGGGAUACUGAUGAGUGCAGUGUUCCUUCAAGGCUCAGUUGGAAAACUUCCUCUCUGAAAACUGAGGGAACUCAUGCUUGACGAAAUGCCCUAGCAGCCAGGGAAGCUCAGCCAAACUGCUGCAUCUGCUGUCUGGAGAACACAAGAAGAACACGUGUGUGUUUGGCAAGCUGAAAGGCUUUUAAUAAUUAUGAAUCAUUCCUCCAGCUGCAUGUCAGUGUUUCUUUCCACUGGACAGGAACAGCGAUAGCUCUGAACUAUGCAGCAAUGAGAAAGGUACAAAGAUUCGAGUACCAAACGGACAGUACUGCCUAAAGGUCCUAUUUAUACAGACAGUUCUACUACACAGAGGCUGCUGGAACUCUAGUACUUCUAUAGCACAGUGGGAACAAGGGGUCCCAUCAUCUGUCACUGUGCUCAUUUUCCUUUCAUCCCGUGCCUGCCCUGCGCACAGCCAUUCCUCCCCUACGCAGCUCAGACCAAAAUGAAAUCUUGACUGCUUCUUUCCUCCUACUGCAAUGGCUCGGUGCUCCUGCUGGACAGCUACAGAUUGCUAACUGUUCCUGGCACCGGAUGCCUCCGCAUGGACGUGAAGCCAAGAAGCCAAGAGAGAAACCGUAUUGCCAAGUCCAAGCACUCUGAAAUUGCAGUAACCUUUUCCCUACACAAAAAGUGGGUUAUUAUUUGUAUUUAUCCUUUGUUGCUUCAUGUUUUCAGCAAACAUAUUUCAAACUCUUCUCUAUGGUCAUGAUUUUAUUCUCGAUGGAAGUUGAAAUUCUUGCAUACCCAUACAAUUCCUGCACCUGAUGCUUUAAGAAAAAACACCGAUGACUGCAGGAGUUGGCAGCAGAGAGGGAAGAGGAAGAGGAGACGGAGGAGGAAAUAAUCUCAUUCUCUCACCUGCAGGAGCGGAAUCUGAUCCCCUGCUGAUGUCUGGUGAUAGCGCAUCGGAGAGGGAAAGGAAAUGGGAGAACCAGAGGAGAGAAGAGGUAGCCCAUAGGAAGACAUAAAGAGAAGGAAAUACUUUGGGUUAGUGGAGAAGGUCAUCAGGCUACGCAGCCUUCAGACAUCUACCCAAAUCAGUUUGAAACUCCCGACCACACGGUUACCUCACCGCUGAGUGUUUUUUGCGUUCCAAAAUGAGAGGUGGGGAAGGGUGUCCUUCCUGCUCCUGUUUAUCUGAGUCACAGGGAUAAAGCCUAAUUUUGUCUAUAUCCAACUGUCAGCAGUGCGGGAAACAACACAUGUGAAGGCAGAAAAGGAAACGUGGUGUAAGCAAUUGGAAGUGAGGGCUGUACCUGCCUUUUGUGCUCUGCUGCCUUUUCAUCUUACAGAACACAACGUGAGCUGUUACUCUAGUAAUCCAUGAAGUACAUUGUGCAUGCGGAGCCACGCAAGGAUACUAAUUGAAGGAUUAAAACCGAGUGUAGACAAAUGUUAAUGAAGUGAAGGAACUUACUGGACUUUUUACGUUCUGCCUGUGUGUACAAAGCAGCGUUAGCUCUGUGCAGUGCAAUGCUAAGACUAUCUACGCAUUUGAGCUGUGACAUCAGUUUUCUAUUUCUGCGUUAUUAUCACCAGUGAAAGUGGAAACACUGCAUAAAGUGUGGGUCCUCAUUCUGUCUGCAGUUCACUCUUGAACAGUGUGCCACUUCUUUUUGUUUUUUCAGUAGACUGAGAGGAUGAAGUUUAUGUUUCUGUUUUCAAGUGUUGCUUCCUCCACGAGCAGGAAAUCCUCCCUCCCUCCAUAUGUUUUUAAAAUAGCUGACAGUGCCCCCAAUUAAUUGCAUAUCAAACUGAACUUCUUUUUCCUGGCCUACGUGACUGUCCUCCCCUCCUCAACAGCCAGCCUGUUUUCAUGCGCACGGUAGGAAUAUUAAAAACAUCCCCUACCUAGCAAAACAAGAACUCCUCUGGGAAGGUGCAUGUAGAUGAAAUG
ensembl:lncRNA